rnacentral:rRNA from 1 species
GAUGUGUAGGAUAGGUGGGAGGCUUUGAAGUGUGGACGCCAGUCUGCAUGGAGCCGACCUUGAAAUACCACCCUUUAAUGUUUGAUGUUCUAACGUUGGCCCCUAAUCGGGGUUGCGGACAGUGUCUGGUGGGUAGUUUGACUGGGGCGGUCUCCUCCUAAAGAGUAACGGAGGAGCACGAAGGUUGGCUAAUCCUGGUCGGACAUCAGGAGGUUAGUGCAAUGGCAUAAGCCAGCUUGACUGCGAGCGUGACGGCGCGAGCAGGUGCGAAAGCAGGUCAUAGUGAUCCGGUGGUUCUGAAUGGAAGGGCCAUCGCUCAACGGAUAAAAGGUACUCCGGGGAUAACAGGCUGAUACCGCCCAAGAGUUCAUAUCGACGGCGGUGUUUGGCACCUCGAUGUCGGCUCAUCACAUCCUGGGGCUGAAGUAGGUCCCAAGGGUAUGGCUGUUCGCCAUUUAAAGUGGUACGCGAGCUGGGUUUAGAACGUCGUGAGACAGUUCGGUCCCUAUCUGCCG